UUCAUUAACAACUUUCCCUCCAUGUGUUCAUUAUGUGAAUUGAAGCACAAUUUAGAUUCAACAGAGGUGCUACUGCUGGAGGAGUAGAUGAAAAUGAAUUUAGAAUUUUGGUGGGACUGCAUUCUUACUGAAGGAUCAGGCUCACAAAUUGGAACAAGAUGUAAAGGUUCACCAAAAGAGAAAAGUAUUGAAGGAUGUGCAAAUGUGGUCUAAGGAAGGAUUGUCUGCCUGCCUGCCUCCCUGCCCUCUCAAUAUCCGAAGCAAUUCUGAGCAGCUUAUAAAUUGAAUAACUGAAGAAGACUACAUCCUGCCAUCCCAAGAGUCCACCAGCCAAGCAUAAUUAUUAUCUUAAUUCUAACCAACAGCAAGGUUUUUUAAACUCAUGAGUUUUGGCCUUCCAGUUUUAGGAAAAAGCCUUGCUUUGCAGAGAAAGUAAAUACCUGAGAAAGGCUUGAACCAAAAGACCAUAAAUCAGGCUACUGUUUUUUGUUGCAUGCCUAUAUCUUUUCUUUAUGUCUAUGCUAUUUUAGAUAGGAGGGAAUGAUUUUAUUGUUGCAUGGAUUAAAUACUUGUCAACUGAAAUUCCUUAGUUCACUUCAUUUGAUUUCAAAUCAUCUAGAGAUGUACCAACUGAUCUAGAGCUGACCUUUUUCCCGUGCUCUUUAAUUUGCUGACUAUGCCCAUUCAUGCAAUAAUAUUUCCUUUUACAGUAGAUUAUUUUGAAUCAGCAAUUCUUAUGUGCUUUUCGUGUUCUUGUUACUGACAAAUGUUGGGCAAAACUAGGAUCUCUGCAGCAUUCAGCAUUUUUUAAAAGAAACAGGAAAUCAGCUAUGAACAUUGUGUAAAUUUAAAUGGAUAAUGCUGCUGUGUAGACAACUCCUGCAGAAUUGUAAAUCAACAUAAUGUAAAAAAAACAGGAAGAGAGGAUCUUUCGGGUUAUUCAGGAUAAAAUGUUUGUAUUUUAUUGCCAUAUCUUGUUUUGGGGUAUAUAUAGCCACAUACCCACAUCUGCUUGCCUUUGAAUAUUGACUCCUGGUGUCUUAAUGCAUAAGUCCAUGCAGUUUGCUUGGCAACAUUUUUCAAAAAUGAUUUUCUAUUGUUUUCUAGGAUGAGAAAGAAUUUCAUCAGAAUAUCACCUGGGUUCGCUUCAUGUCUAAAGCAAAACUAAAACUACCUUCCUAGUUCAGUGUCUUAAUCACUAUAUCAAACUGGUUCUCUAUGCCUUGGUAGAGCCUUAGAGAAUGGGUGGCUACCUGCACACCGUGCGAGGAGUCCAGACCAGCUUCCCCAGAGGCGCCUCCUAAGGAGUGGGAGCAACCUCAAGCACCGUGGUCUAGGGUACACAUUGAUUUUGCUGGCCCAGUUCAUGGCCAGACAUUCCUUGUAGUUGUGGACGCCUACUCAAAAUGGCUAGAGGUAAUCCUGAUGACCUCCACUACGGCAGAAGCGACCAUCAAGGUACUACGGAAACUUUUCUCCACACACCGCCUGCCCGACGUCCUGGUCUCUGACAAUGGGCCCCAAUUCACGGCCAUGCAAUUUGAGACCUUCUUAGCAGCACAGGGAAUCAGACAUGCUCUGGUCAUGCCAUUCCAUCCAGCCGCCAACGGUCAGACGGAGAGAAUGGUGAGAUCUGCAAAAGAGGCCCUAUCCAGGCUGGGCCCGGGAGAUUGGCAAACACGGGUUGACUACUAUUUGCUAAUUCAACAUAUCACGCCAAGUGCCAUUACAGGGAGAAGCCCCUCCAAGCUUCUCAUGGGUCGCCAGCUAAGGUCCCACUUAGACCGGCUACACCCAAACUAUUCUGCCACAUCACCCCGACUCCACAAGCAAAAUUUGGAACUUUAGCAUAGGGGAUGCAGUUUAUGCCCACAACUAUGCCAGGGAAACUCUAUGGAUUCCUGCCACAGUGAUAGACAUCACCGGGCCUCGCUCUUAUCUCAUAGAGCUCGAGGACGGUCAGAAUUUGAGAACCAAAUUCUCCGUGGCCGCCUCUCCAACUCCACGCUUAGGCAUCCAGAGGUAACUGGCGGGAAUAGAGGUUUAAUCUCAUUGGUCGAAGGGUCUGACAGUUCCCUAUAAAAGGGCUGCUGUCAGACUCAACC